CUACGGGCUGCACCAGUAGGGAAUCUUAGACAAUGGGGGAAACCCUGAUCUAGCCAUGCCGCGUGAGUGAUGAAGGCCUUAGGGUUGUAAAGCUCUUUCGCUGGGGAAGAUAAUGACGGUACCCAGUAAAGAAACCCCGGCUAACUCCGUGCCAGCAGCCGCGGUAAUACGGAGGGGGUUAGCGUUGUUCGGAAUUACUGGGCGUAAAGCGCGCGUAGGCGGGCUAUUAAGUCAGGGGUGAAAUCCCGGGGCUCAACCCCGGAACUGCCUUUGAUACUGGUAGUCUUGAGUUCGAGAGAGGUGAGUGGAAUUCCGAGUGUAGGAGUGAAAUUCGUAGAUAUUCGGAGGAACAUCAGUGGCGAAGGCGACUCACUGGCUCGAUACUGACGCUGAGGUGCGAAAGUGUGGGGAGCAAACAGGAUUAGAUACCCUAGUAGUC
rnacentral:rRNA from 1 species